UUCCUAGUAGCUUAGUGGUAAAGAACCUGCCUGCAAUGCAGGAGAUGUGGGUUCAGUCCCUGGGGAA
rnacentral:tRNA from 1 species